rnacentral:rRNA from 1 species
GUGCCAGCCGCCGCGGUAAGACGUAGGAGGCGAGCGUUGUCCGGAUUCAUUGGGCGUAAAGAGCGCGCAGGCGGCUCGGUAAGUCGGUUGUGAAAUUCCGGGGCUCAACCCCGGGACUGCGUCCGAUACUGCCGAGCUAGAGGUAGGUAGGGGAGAUCGGAAUUCCUGGUGUAGCGGUGAAAUGCGCAGAUAUCAGGAGGAACACCGGUGGCGAAGGCGGAUCUCUGGGCCUUACCUGACGCUCAGGCGCGAAAGCUAGGGGAGCGAACUGGAUUAGAAACCCCUGUAGUCC